rnacentral:ncRNA from 1 species
AUUAAGCCAUACAUGUGUAAGUAUGAACAAAUUCAGACUGUGAAACUGCGAAUGGCUCAUUAAAUCAAUUAUAGUUUGUUUGAUAGUAUCUACUACUCGGAUAACCGUAGUAAUUCUAGAGUUAAUACGUGCAAAAAACCCCGUCUUCUGGAAGGGAUUCAUUUAUUAGAUAAAAGGUUGACGCUGGCUCUGUCUGUUUCUGCGAUGAUUCAUGAUAAUCGACGGAUGGCAUGGCCAUCGUGCCGGUGACGCAUCAUUUAAAUUUUUGUCCUAUCCAGUUUCGAUGGUAGGAAAUUGGCCUACCAUGGUGGUGGCGGGUGACAGAGAAUUAGAGUUCCAUUUCGGAGAGGGAGCAUGAGAAUGUCUACCACAUCCAAGGAAGGCAGCAGACA